rnacentral:rRNA from 1 species
ACGGAAGGCAGCAGUGGGGGAUAUUGCACAAUGGAGGAAACUCUGAUGCAGCAACGCCGCGUGAGGGAAGAAGGUCUUCGGAUUGUAAACCUCUGUUUUUGGUGAAGAAUUUUGACGGUAGCCAAAGAGGAAGCCACGGCUAACUACGUGCCAGCAGCCGCGGUAAUACGUAGGUGGCAAGCGUUGUCCGGAUUUACUGGGUGUAAAGGGUGCGCAGGCGGGACUGCAAGUUGGAUGUGAAAUACCGAGGCUUAACCUCGGGGCUGCAUCCAAAACUGUGGUUCUUGAGUGGAGUAGAGGUAAGCGGAAUUCCGAGUGUAGCGGUGAAAUGCGUGGAUAUUCGGAGGAACACCAGCGGCGAAGGCGGCUUACUGGGCUCUAACUGACGCUGAGGCACGAAAGUGUGGGUAGCAAACAGGAUUAGAUACCCUGGUA